AUGGAAGUGCCCUGUCCACAUGUUUCUCAUUAGCAGCAGGCUGAGUGUGUGUUUCCCUAGUCUUCUUUCGGAGGGAGCAGUCCAGUGUCCAAUCAUAACUCUUCUGGGAAGUCAUUAGCGGUGUCCAGGAGCUAGAGAUGGGGCUCAGCUGAUAGGAGCUUGACUUAACAUCCACAAAGCCACAGGCUCCAACCCCAGCACCAUGCAAGCCAAGGGCUAGGGUACACCCAUACCCCUAGAACUCCAGAGGCAGAAGGAUGAGAGGUUUAAGGUCAUUCUUGGUGACAUACUGAGUUUGAGGCCAACCUGAACUACAUGAGACCUUUCCGCCAAGCCAAACCAGGUCAUCGAGAUGGCUCAGCAGACCCUUACUGGUGUUGAAGGUCUGCGCUGGCUUGGCAUGUGUACUCCUUCUCUCCAAGCUGGGUUGAAAGUGUGCUCUGAGACGCCCAGCAGAGGUGGGUUUUUGGGUAUCCCUGGCUGCCCUGGACUUUGCACUGCAGACCACGCUGGCUUCUGACACCACCCAGGGGCAUAACUCCUGAUCGCAAAGUUUUCCGAGUGGAAGGUGUCAGCUGCAGCAACCUGCUCUGUGAACUGUGCGGUGAGACAGGCCCUCAGAGCUCGCCCUGGAAGGUCCCCUAUCCGAUGUGGUCCCCAUUGACAGGAAAUAGGGUGCACAGGGGCCUCUGCUUGUAGGAAUCUGGCUUUGCUCAUGUGGAAUAACAUGGGCUCCAGCUGGGUCUGUCAAGGUCACCUCCGCCACAUCACAGGGCCUCAUCAGCCAACCUCAGAAGCCUGGCACAGGUGUUCAUAGAUUGAUCAGCUUUUUGUUCUUUGAGACAUGGAUCUGACGCUGUAGCCCAGGCUGGCAUCCACAUCACAACAAUCCCCUUGCGCCUCCCAGGUGUGGAGUUCACAGCGUUGCAGGCUUCUGAAUUAUGAAGAAAGGUUCCCCACGGGCUUCCAGAUGUCCUGUGGAUAGAUGCCCUGCAGCUCUUUGUGGCAACAAGAGGCUAUGUUCUUGUCUCAACACUGAGGGCUUUUGUUCAUGAUGGUGGGCAGAUUGGAGGCAAUCUCAGGACAUGGCAGGUGUGUAACACUGAUGUACCCACCUGUGUUACGGAAAUUGCCCUCAUGAUUAGCUGGGGAAGCAAAGGCUCAGAGAGGUCUUUUCCCAGGAUCAGGCCAUCUGAAGAAAGCCAUUGGUCACUUCUAUGCAAGUGGGCCUCUUGUGAGGCCCAGGCUCACACCAAAGACCCCGGACUGGCAGAAGCAAAGAGCCUGGUUCCAAUGCUUCCCGGUCACGUGCUCACCCCUUCAUCCCUGUCUGCUGGUAGAGGGAUGCCACUGUAGCAAACAAGGGCACACAGGUCCCUUGGGGGUGGGGUUAGAGAGAGGGCUCAGUGGUUAAGAACAUUGGUGGUUCUUGAAGAGGACCACAGUGUAGUUCCAAGUACCUGCCUGAUGGAUCCCAACCAUCUGUAACUCCAGGUUCAGGGGCUCAGGGGCUCUCUUCUGACUUCCUCAGGUACCAGGCACAUACAUGAUGGGAUGCAUAUACAUGCAUGCAUGCAUGUAUACAUACAUACAUACAUAUGUGCAUACACAGUGUACAUAUGUACAUACACACAUACAAAUAUAUAUACAUACAUAACAUGCAUACAUACGUACAUACAUACAUAUGUGCAAGCAAAACACUUUUUUAAAAAAAGAUUUAUGCCGGACAUGGUGGCGCACACCUUGGCCCCGCUCUUUCUGGCCCAAAGAGUUUAUAAGUACACUGUAGCUGUCUUCAGGUGCACCAGAAAAGGGCGUGAGAUCUCGUUGCGGAUGGUUAUGAGCCACCAUGUGGUUACUGGGAUUUGAACUCAGGACUUUAGGAAGAGCAGUCAGUGCUCUUACCCGCUGAGCCAUCUCGCCAGCCCAGCAAAACACUCUUAAAGUAAAAUUUAAAAAUCGAAAACAGGUCCCUUCCUGGGACAACUGGAUGUUGAGAAUUCAUGAGCACUAGUGCCCUGUGUUUCCUUCCUUCCUUCCUUCCUUCCUUCCUUCCUUCCUUCCUUCCUUCCUUCCUUCCUUCCUUUCCUUUUUAUUCUUUUUUUGAGACAUAGUUUCUUUUUAUAGUUCUUGCUAACCUGGACCUCUCUUUGCAGAACAGGCUGGUCUUGAACUCAGAGACUCACCUAUCUCUGCCUCUUGAAUGCUGGGAUUAAACAUGUGUGCCACC
ensembl:processed_transcript Gm28447 predicted gene 28447